GUGGGGAAUCUUGCGCAAUGGGCGAAAGCCUGACGCAGCCAUGUCGCGUGAAUGAUGAAGGUCUUAGGAUUGUAAAAUUCUUUCACCGGGGACGAUAAUGACGGUACCCGGAGAAGAAGCUCCGGCUAACUUCGUGCCAGCAGCCGCGGUAAUACGAAGGGGGCUAGCGUUGCUCGGAAUUACUGGGCGUAAAGGGCGCGUAGGCGGACAGCUUAGUCAGAGGUGAAAGCCCAGGGCUCAACCUUGGAAUUGCCUUUGAUACUGGCUGUCUUGAGUUUGGGAGAGGUGAGUGGAACUCCGAGUGUAGAGGUGAAAUUCGUAGAUAUUCGGAAGAACACCAGUGGCGAAGGCGACUCACUGGCCCAAUACUGACGCUGAGGCGCGAAAGCGUGGGGAGCAAACAGGAUUAGAAACCCGAGUAGUCC
rnacentral:rRNA from 1 species